rnacentral:rRNA from 1 species
UAAUACAGAGGGUGCGAGCGUUAAUCGGAAUUACUGGGCGUAAAGCGCGCGUAGGUGGUUUUGUAAGUCGGGUGUGAAAGCCCCGGGCUCAACCUGGGAACUGCAUUCGAGACUGCAUUACUCGAGUAUGGGAGAGGGCAGUGGAAUUUCCGGUGUAGCGGUGAAAUGCGUAGAUAUCGGAAGGAACAUCAGUGGCGAAAGCGACUGCCUGGCCCAAUACUGACACUCAUGUGCGAAAGCGUGGGGAGCAAACAGGAUUAGAUACCCUGGUAGUCCACGCCAUAAACGAUGACAACUAGAUGUCGGGAGGGUUAGCCUCUUGGUGUCGCAGCUAACGCGUUAAGUUGUCCGCCUGGGGAGUACGGCCGCAAGGUUG